rnacentral:rRNA from 1 species
UACGUAGGGUGCGAGCGUUGUCCGGAAUUAUUGGGCGUAAAGAGCUCGUAGGCGGCCUGUCGCGUCGGAUGUGAAAGCCCGGGGCUUAACCCCGGGUCUGCAUUCGAUACGGGCAGGCUAGAGUUCGGUAGGGGAGAUCGGAAUUCCCGGUGUAGUGGUGAAAUGCGUAGAUAUCGGGAGGAACACCAGUGGCGAAGGCGACUACCUGGCCUGUUCUUGACGCUGAGGCGCGAAAGCUAGGGGAGCAAACGGG